rnacentral:rRNA from 1 species
CCCAGACUCCUACGGGAGGCAGCAGUGGGGAAUAUUGCACAAUGGGGGGAACCCUGAUGCAGCGACGCCGCGUGGGUGAAGGAGUACUUCGGUACGUAAAGCCCUAUCAGCAGGAAAGAAAAUGACGGUACCUGACUAAGAAGCCCCGGCUAACUACGUGCCAGCAGCCGCGGUAAUACGUAGGGGGCAAGCGUUAUCCGGAUUUACUGGGUGUAAAGGGAGCGUAGACGGCAGUGCAAGUCCGGAGUGAAAGCCCGGGGCUCAACCCUGGGACUGCUCUGGAAACUGUAAAGCUGGAGUGCGGGAGGGGCAGGCGGAAUUCCUGGUGUAGCGGUGAAAUGCGUAGAUAUCAGGAGGAACACCGGCGGCGAAGGCGGCCUGCUGGACCGUAACUGACGUUGAGGCUCGAAAGCGUGGGGAGCAAACAGGAUUAGAUACCCUAGUAC